rnacentral:lncRNA from 1 species
GCCGGGCGGCGCCGGGCUCGGCUUCCAGUCCGGCGCUUGUUCUGAGGGGCCGAGGGUUCGCCUCGGAACUUAACCGGGGCUGUGAUCACAGGCGUCAGUUACUGUGCUGGCUGCUGUUACGAGCUGCUGCCGGGUUGUUUAGCCCAGGUGCUGGGCGAGGGGCACCGAGAGUCGGUGUUUCGGUCUGCAGCCUCCACGGUUUUGUCAGCAGUGCGGUGAUGGAGGGGUGUGCUCGUGUGGUAAGGGUAGUUAGGCCUGUGUUGCGACCAUUCCAGUUUUCCCACCUCACGUGUCAGGGAAGGAAGGAAAGUUAAUGGGACCUGUUGAGCUGGACAUAAGGAUGCUGUACCAGGAGGUCCUUGUGGAAGAGGAAGCUGUGAAAGUAGGUGGAGAUCAGGCCUUGGAAGUCCAGAAUGCCUUGGCUUGAAAAAUGGGUCAGUUUGAGCACUUAGCACACAGUGGUAUUAUUUGAUCCUGUUUAUAUGUGUGUGUGUGUCUAUUCAAGAUGUCAUUUCUUCAGAAGUAGAAGUUUUUUGGUUAUACUUGAUGUUGUAUUUACAUAAUUCAAUAAAGUAUUAUUCAGUUAACUCUGAAGACAAAAAGGCAUAUUUGUAUAAGAACCAGCAGACUACUUUCAAGACAUAAGAAUGGCUUAAAUUCAGUUACAAUUAAGUAGGUGAGGGUGAGAUGAUCUUUUUUUUGCGGGGGUGGUGGUGAGAUUGUCUUAAGUGAUUGAAAGCAAAAAGCCC